rnacentral:rRNA from 1 species
GCCGACAACUAGCUCUCUGUAAUUCUCACAUGGUCGCCCACUGAAGCUAAGCAGGGCUGCUCCUGGUCAGUACCUGGAUGGGAGACCACAUGGGAAAGCUAGGAUGCUGCCGGAA